rnacentral:rRNA from 1 species
AUUGAACGCUGGCGGCAGGCCUAACACAUGCAAGUCGAGCGAGCGGCGGACGGGUGAGUAAUGUCUGGGAAACUGCCCGAUGGAGAGGGAUAACGACUGGAAAAGGUAGCUAAUACCGCAUACCAUCAGAUGUGAACAGAUGGGAUGAGCUAGUAGGUGGGGUAACGGCUCACCUAGGCGCCGAUCCCUAGCUGGUCUGAGAGGAUGACCAGCCACACUGGAACUGAGACACGGUCCAGACUCCUACGGGAGGCAGCAGUGUGGAAUAUUUCACAAUGGGCGCAAGCCUGAUGCAGCCAUGCCGCGUGUGUGAAGAAGGCCUUCGGGUUGUAAAGCACUUUCAGCGGGGAGGCGUUACCCGCAGAAUAAGCACCGGCUAACUCCGUGCCAGCAGCCGCGGUAAUAC